rnacentral:rRNA from 1 species
AUGGACGGAAUAGAAGCUAGCGCUGGCGCUGGCCUGCCACGACCGCCCCAGUUCGACUGCCUGUUCACGGACGAGGGGUGGGCCUUGCUGUCCGAGGAAACACGCCGUUCAAUUAUAGGAGUUCUGGAUCAUGACAGAGAAGAGAAGAUCAGCCUCCUACAGCGCCGUCAGGCCCGAAAGGACCGCCGCAAGGCCCUGCCGGAUCAUCGGCCGGAUAUACGACCUAGCGAGUCCCUCGAUUCUAUCUUGUCCAGGGAUGUUCGUGAUUCAGAUCAACUUUUGUGGAUCCGACAACAUCGCAUGCUCAACCUUUCAGAAUCUCUACUGCCGCCGAUGCGCUACACCUCCUGCGAACUCCUCGGGAACGGAUGCUCUCAUUAUCCUCAUCCUAUGCUACAGUUCUUCGGUAUUUUUGUCCAGUUUUACAGGAACGCCUUGAAUAUCAUGCGAGACAAUACAAGGUCCUCACAUAUUGAUGUAUAUGGCUUGCUUGCUGUAAGGGAUACCUUGGAUUAUUCCCGGAACUAUAUUUUUCAGCGAUCUAGAGAGAACCCUCAACCUAUAGACGUGGAUGGUGGUUAUCUAAGUCUGAGCUACCCUGCACGAGGCAUAUCUGCAAUGGGCUGCUUGAUUGAAAUUGAUAUAAAGAUCAAGGGCAAGGAGGUUGACAAAGAUCUGUCAAUUAUUGAUGGAUCUGUGAAAGCCUUUGGGCAGUUUGACUCGAGGACUGCUAAGCAUGUUGAUAACAUCAAUGGUAAAAUUAUAUUCAAGACGCAUAUUGUUCGUAAAGGUGUCGAGGCAACUAUAGACCUUGAUUUUGUGGAGGUGCCAACAGAUGGCUUCAGUGUGCGGAUGCGUGGCAGUACCGUCCGUUAUAAAGCUGUCUACUCCUUUAUCAACGAGGGUUGUGAAGCUGAUAGUUUUAUAGCUUCACCUGGGAAGUACAAUAAGAAAUUUGUCGCAGCUGUGAGCAUAGGUGAUACACUAUGCAUAGAUUUCAUGGAGAAGAAGCGAGAAGUGCUCUCUUUUGUAUCAUCCAAGCACGGCAACGAGCAGCUACCUUACCGAUUCAGCAAUGGGGCCUUGGUCUUUGUUAAAGUCUUUUGGUCAACCAUCGUUGACGGUUGGCCAUUGGGUCUCUAA